rnacentral:rRNA from 1 species
UACGUAGGGGGCAAGCGUUGUCCGGAUUUAUUGGGCGUAAAGAGCGUGUAGGCGGUCAGGUAGGUCCGUUGUGAAAACUCGAGGCUCAACCUCGAGACGCCGAUGGAAACCAUCUGACUAGAGUCCGGAAGAGGAGAGUGGAAUUCCUGGUGUGAGGCGGUGAAAUGCGCAGAUAUCAGGAAGAACACCCGUGGCUAAGGCGGCUCUCUAGUACGGUACUGACGCUGAGACGCGAAAGCGUGGGGAGCGAACAGG